CCAACGCUGGAGCCCCCGAGGAGCUGCAUUGACGGUGCCCUAGGAACAGCUCUCAGCUGAACGACAGAGAGCUGCUUGGUUUACAGAUGGCAGUUCCAGGAGGCAUGGACAGUAUCCUGGUUGGAGAGCUGCUGCAGGGCUGAAGCAGGUGACACCGGCCGUAGCUCUAGCACAUUGGUCUGAAGGACCUCCUGGACUCGCUGUACCCACAAAGCCAGCCCUCUCUGUGAGUCUGGGGACAGCUGCAUCUGCCGUGGUUCUGGAGCAGGACACAGAGAAAGGGUCACCCCGGGGUUGAUUCCCCGCACCUUACAAUGACAGAAGAGCCCUCACUGCCUUGAAGGGAACCCCAGUCCGGGAAGCCCACACCCCAGUCCGGGAAGCCCACCCUAGACGGUCCCCUGGCUGCAGCUCCUCACCUUCCAGCUCUGCCACCGUGGGCCCCAGGUGCUCCUCCUGGACCAAGUGGUGGAGGACUUGGCCCUCGAGGGUGGAUGAAGGCUGGCUGCCAUGGAGGACGCUGGGCACAUGCUCGGGCUCCCAGGCAAGGCGCCUAGCCUUUCCCAUCCAGGGGCUGGGGGAAGGCCUGGGGGUGACAGAGUAAGAAGCCUGGUCUUACCCGCCACACUGCCCUCCCUGCCCACCCUUGUGUGGGCCUGGCCGCUGUGCACUCCCCUGCCUGUCCAGGCACCUGCCCCUCCCCCUUCCUGACCCUGCGUGUCUGUCCUGGGACCCCAUCCUCUCCCAUCCUCCCGAAGAGGAAGUCUUCAGUCCUCAGCCCGCCCAUGGGAAUCCGAAGAUGAGUGACCUGCUGGGCUCUGCUGGUCUCCCCCUGCCCCAAGCCCCAAACUCCUCCUCCCCCCAUUCUGUGAGACGGGCAGUGCCCGCUCUGGACCCAGUGAACACUCACAUUUUCAGUUCCUCCUCUGGUCCCUUGCCAUGCCCCCUGUUGCUUGAAGAGGCCGUGAGGGCAUCACUUGUGACACUCCCUGGCCUUGACCUGCGGAUGAUGCCUGAAGUGACUGCCCGAGUCCACCUGGGAUGGGGUCCCAGUAUUGUGUGUGCUUCCUUCACUCAGUUAUGAGGUCCCUCAUGUGGCCACAGUGAGGACAAGGACCCGGCCCAGCCACAGGGAAUCGUGAGCCUCUGUUCCAAAGGCUGCUUUCCAUGUGCUUUCCCAAAUGAGCCAGGCUCCAGGCCACUGACGGGUGAGACCAAAGGCUUUCAUUGGGUACAGAGAAGUAAGCCCCGAAGCAGCCCAGCUUGGCCGGCAGUCCUCUCUGCACUGCCGGGUGCCAGGGGAGCCCCUCUAAGGCGCCUCCCAUGUUCCCCAUGGUUACCCUAACAGGCUGAUCACCAGCCACCCUGCCUGUCAGAGGAGCUGUGGCUCAGACACAUGUGGGGACAUGCAAGACACACAGCGGGCUGUGGGCAGAGGCCCGACUGUGCCGAGGAGGGGGUGGGUGCUCACCGGGGGAGCAGCUGGCCCGUGGCCGGCUGGUCAGCAUCCCUUGCAGGGAGUAGGGACCAAGAAAUGUUCCGGCUGAAGGUUGUCGCUGAAGACAGCUUUCUUCCCCUGAACAGUCCCUGCUUCCCCUUCACAGCUGCCAGCUGGUUGGUGUCCUCGGGAGGGAGUGUGAGCUCAGGAGCGCUCCGGCUGGUGUUUGCAGCUGGUUCCACUCGUACCAAGCGCUUUCUCCCCUUCCUCCUCACUCCUGUCCGGGGAGCCCUGCACGUGGAGACCUCAGUCCCACGGACAGUUGGCUCAGGUUCACGCUGAGGGGGGCAGCAGGGAUAUAGUCAGUGGGAAACCCAGGACCCACCAGGACGAGGGAGGCUUGCAGCUCACCCGAGAUCCCCCAGCCCCCUGGGAUGCGAACAAGGAGAGGCACGGGGUGCCCCCGGGAACGAGGUUCCAGGCCCUCUGGAGUGGGACUGUCAGCCACUCUCGUGGGAGGGCCCUGGCAGAUUGGCAGGUGUGGAACGGGGUCCUGGGGUGUAGACAGCCUGCCCCAGGUCAAGGGAGAUGGAGUAGGUGAAUCCAUCCACCAGCUCCUCCAGGCUCUCCAGGGUGGAGCUCUGCAAAGCCAUCACCUGGUAGCUGGGGAGGAGGCACCCACCGUUGCGUGGACCUCCCCGCAGAGGGCAGUGUGGGCCCCCAGCCCUGCCCCCGAGAACAGGCACACAGGGUGGCCUGCGUAGACAUCCAGUCGCUCAGGGAAGGAAAGGUCACCCCCGGGCUCAGGGUUGACAUGUGGGUGGAAGUACCUGGUCCCAACACCUCCACAUCCUGAAUGAUGAGACCAGAGCUGUGACACUGACUGCCCCCUCCUCUCCAGCCUUCCGUCCCACCCAUGCCCCACGCCCACCGCACACAAGAAGGGCCAGCAGGAAGGUCAGCCCGGGAUGGGUCACACUGGCCUGGCCCUGGGGUGGCCCGCUCUGGGCUGCCCUGCGUUACCUCGGGGCUCCUCGGGAGACAUGGACAGAGGCGGUGGAGGAGGUCACUGAGCCAACGCCCACGGUGAGCAGAAAGACUCUCCCUCUCGGCUUCCCUGACUCCUACGCCUUCAGAAGGAUCCGCACAACAAGAAGGUUCCGCAAAACAAGACCACAUGUUGCUCUGUCGAGCGCCUCCGGUCAAGUGAGCUGGACUGGGGUCUGCAACCAGGAGCUGGGUUCUGUCCGUCCGGGUCACAAUUGAGGUUCUCCUGGGCGUGUCAUCAGUGACAUCACUUCUUCAAUGGUCCAUUUCCUGGGCCCGUCCCUGCAUUCAGACACGCCCACAUGCCUCUCUGGGCUGCUGACUGCCCACCGUCCUGGCCCUUGCCAUGCACGACUACACAGAUCUCCGCCAGAGCCCUCCCCUCACUCUUUGGCAAUGUCUCUAGGGUCCCUCCUAAUUUGAUGCAGAUAUGUUUUGUUGACGUGUGCACCCUGAAUGUGGAAGAUGAAAACUCCAAGGUCGGUAUUCUUUGCUCCCCUGAGCUGGGCUGGGUGGGACACUGCUGGAGGGCAAUCAGGGACAGCAUGAGAAAGGGCAAGGCGGUGGCAGAGGGUGGACAGGUGCAGGGGACUCAGGCGGAGAGCCAUCAUUCUCAUGAGCCCGGGAUCCCUGAUUCAGAAUCUGCUGUCACUCUUGAGACAAAGUCUCGUUUUAGAAGCCACUGAGGGUGCUGGCAGGGCCAAAAGAAUUAAAGCAUGGAGGAUACCAUGCUGGGAAAGUGAAGGACAAACCUAACCCUGUCCAAAAGUUUGCUGAGUAAUGGAAUAUGGUUCCUGAGACCGAGGACUUCGGGAAUACCUUGCGGGGGAGGCAGGGGAAGAGGGGAGGAGGAGGGGAGUCAUUCGGAAGGGAACUUUAUCUCCUUCCAACACUACUGUGCUCGACAAUCCAACGUCUCCUUUAUAAAGAAAAGGAAUAAUAGGAGACAUAACAUUCAUGCUUUGAAGUGGUUAGAGGCAGGGGGUGGGGGUAGCUUGUAGAAGUCUCAAAAAGCAGCUGUUCAGAAGAAUCACACCCUUCACUCCACAGGAUGCUGCUGGUUGCAGUUUGGAAGGUGACUUAAACCUGGAAUAUCCAGAAGAAAAAGAAAUUAUUGUAAUCAAGGACACUGAGAAGCAAGACAGGUCUAAGGUAUAUUUAGCCUCUGAGUCCAUCCUUUCUAAUUUUCGGAGCCCAAUGCUGAGUCUGAGGAUUCUGGUUCAGAGAUAGUAAAAGAACUAUUGUCAAAACAGGCCCAUAAAUUUGGAUAUUACGACAUUCUUGAGAAUACAGGCCUAAGUUCAGAGUCACGGUAAGUUUAAUGCCCUGGUUUCUAGCAAUAGCACCAGUCGUAGAGGUUCAGAAUGUACUUUACUGAUUUCAGGUACCUACUCCAAACAGAAUCUUGCAAUUCUUAUCUUAAGAGAGAUAAGAGCUUAUAAGCAAGAUCCUUUGCAAUGUCCUUAUCUGGCUGGUAAUGGACUUGUGUGCUCCACGUGCCCAGCACCCAGCAAAGAAGAAUGAGGAUACGCAUCAGAGAGAAUCCACAGGGACUGGUAACUGCAGCGGCCUGGCCCCCACCCAGCUGUCAGGGAGGCCAUCCGGGCUCUGCGUUAGCAUAAAAGGAGGGGCAGUCAGGCUGGUGCACCACUGUCACACAGAAUCCUUUUGUUUUUGUGUAAAUAUCCUAAAGUAUACCUGUUAGGCUCUGGUUUGGUUGGGUAUUGGAGCCCAUGACAAGUUAUCCCCGCAGUCCUACGAGCCUGGAGACUUCUGGGUGCAGAUGUGAUUCUAACACAACCUACCUCCGCAAGAAUAAAGCUUGGUAUGAGCCCUUUUGUA